UCCUACGGGGGGCAGCAGUAGGGAAUUUUCGUCAAUGGGCGCAAGCCUGAACGAGCAAUGCCGCGUGAACGAGGAAGGUCUUCGGAUCGUAAAGUUCUGUUGAAGGGGAAAAAGAGCGGAGAGAGGAAAUGAACUCCGAUUGAUAUUACCCUUCGAGGAAGUCACGGCUAACUACGUGCCAGCAGCCGCGGUAAUACGUAGGUGGCGAACGUUAUCCGGAAUGAUUGGGCGUAAAGGGAGCGUAGACGGCGCGGCAAGUCUGAAGUGAAAGCCCGGGGCCCAACCCCGGGAC
rnacentral:rRNA from 1 species